CGCGACCCCAGGUCAGUCGGGACUACCCGCCGAAUUUAAGCAUAUAAAUAAGCGGAGGAAAAGAAACUUACAAGGA
rnacentral:rRNA from 1 species